GCAGCGACUAUUUAUUAUUUGUGAGGCUUCUUGGAGGUUAUUUUUGUUUUCUCUUCUGUUUUGACGACAACCACCAUUGUUUUUUUGUAAAUAAACCAGUUAUAUCUACCCACAACUGAGAGUCUGGCGUUUUAUGAUACGGACCUUUGGUUUUUCGGGUCUGCCGUAACAGUGAGGAUGAGGAGGCACUCUGUCAGGUGUGUGUGUGUGUGUGAGGAGGGCACUCUGUCAGGUGUGUGUGUGUGUGUGUGUGUGUGAGGGCACUCUGUCAGGUGUGUGUGUGUGUGUGUGUGAGUGUGAGGAGGGCACUCUGUCAGGUGUGUGUGUGUGUGUGAUGAGGGCACGCUGUCAGGUGUGUGUGUGUGUGUGAGGAGGGCACUCUGUCAGGUGUGUGUGUGUGUGUGUGAGGAGGGCACUCUGUCAGGUGUGUGUGUGUGUGUGUGUGUGUGUGAGGGUGUGAAGGGCACUCUGUCAGGUGUGUGUGAGGGUGAUGAGGGCACUCUGUCAAGUGUGUGUGUGAGGGUGAGGAGGGCACUCUGUCAGGUGUGUGUGUGUGUGUGUGUGUGUGAGGGUGUGAAGGGCACUCUGUCAGGUGUGUGUGAGGGUGAUGAGGGCACUCUGUCAGGUGUGUGUGAGGAGGGUGUGAAGGGCACUCUGUCAGGUGUGUGUGUGUGUGAGGGUGAUGAGGGCACUCUGUCAGGUGUGUGUGUGUGUGUGUGAGGAGGGCACUCUGACAGGUGUGUGUGUGUGUGUGUGAGGAGGGCACUCUGUCAGGUGUGUGUGUGUGUGAGGAUGAGGAGGGCACUCUGUCAGGUGUGUGUGUGAGGGUGAGGAGGGCACUCUGUCAGGUG
ensembl:lncRNA